CUCGGGCCUGGGACCAUCCCUCAACCCUGAGACUCCAGUUGGCUCCAUGGCCUGAUUGGGCCCCAAAGCCUGUCUCCAGAGACCCUCACAUACACAAGAGACAGGUAACACAAGCACCUGGGAGGCCAGCUGGCCUCCUCCCAUGAGUGCCCUCAUGUUCUCCCUUUUUUGCUAAGAGCUCUCCCAUUUUGGCCCAGGUACCCAGAACUAUCCUGUGCGGAUCAGCAAGACACAGGUCUGUUGCCAAGGCCUGAGGGUGCAGCUCAGGGCUCAGGUCCAUCGACCCCUCCUCUCCUCCUGCUGCCUCCCUUCUUCCCCUCCAUCCAUCUAUAUUCUCUCCCUGAGUCUUCUCUCCUGCUCCACCUGCCCUCCCAGUCUUCGUGGUAACAUGCAGUGCCAAGGAGCUGGGAUGUUUUCAGGAAGGGCAAUGCCUUUGAGUGAAACUCAGGGUCAUCUGUAGCUAGGGAUGAUGCCUCCAAAGCAGAACACGUGCAGCCUCAGAAGCACCUAUUAAUAGUGAAAGGUGAGAAUCAUGAGGGGAAAUAAUAAGGGCUGACGGUCUGCACAAAGAGAAGCAAGGUGGGCUCAGGAAGCGAGCCUUCCGACAUUGCUGAGGUCAGAGGAGAGCAGUCCACCCCCAGCAAGACCUCCCAGCCUGCUGUGAGUGGCCCAUCCUCCCCUCCUCCACCACCAGCAGCAGCAGCAUCUCACUGGCUGAUUUGGACCAGCUGCUCAUUCCCUCAUUAGAAAACACUAACUGGAUUCCACUAAACCAACAUGCAUUGAUUCUUCCUUGACUGAGCAGCUGCGUGUGAAAAGCAUCCCGGGCCUACAAAGCAGGCAAGUCCCUGCUCACUGGAGUUUCCAUCUAGAAGAGAGUCAGACAAGGAAUAAAGAAUUGAUCAUUUCAGAGGUGAUGAGCUCCAGGAAGAAAAUAAAGGAGGGAGAUGUGAAGGAACAGUGGGUCGGGGGGAGAACGAAGCAGAGCCUCCGUGGAGAGCAGCGAUGGACAUGGGGCCAGGUGGCAAGCACUGGAAAACUUCUGGUGGGUUUUAAUCAGGUACGGACAUCAUCCGGGGACUAGCCUCUGCAGUUCCAUCUAAAAAGUCCAAAUUGUACUUUUCAGGUGGAAACACAGAGGUUCAGACAAGGGAAGCCACUCACUCAAACUCGAAGGGCCAAGAAGCAGUGGAGCUGGGAAGCUAACCAGACACCUUGGAUUCCAGGCUGGGAGCGCCUUUCAUUGCCCUUGGGUGCCUCUGGCUAAUGAAUUUUUACCAAGUUUCGGGGCCCUUCAAAUUUCUCUAAAAAGGAUUUAAGUUUAAUCGGUGGUUCAGUUGGCUAUUUUGAAAGUAAAUCAUGGAUGGUGA
ensembl:lncRNA